rnacentral:rRNA from 1 species
UACGUAGGUGGCAAGCGUUGUCCGGAUUUACUGGGCGUAAAGGGCGCGUAGGCGGCGAUUCAAGUCAGGCGUGAAAGGCCUGGGCUCAACCCGGGAACUGCGCUUGAUACUGGAUUGCUCGAGUCCGGGAGAGGAUGGCGGAAUUCCCAGUGUAGAGGUGAAAUUCGUAGAUAUUGGGAAGAACACCGGUGGCGAAGGCGGCCAUCUGGACCGGCACUGACGCUGAGGCGCGAAAGCGUGGGGAGCAAACAGG